UUGGAGCAGCUCAGAGCUAUUGGACAACGUUCCUGCUUCUGGAUCAUAAAGAGCCUCCUGUAGCCAGUGUAGGUCUAGGACCAAUUGGGAGCCUUCAGAGCUGUUGUCCAAUAGGGAACUCAUGUGCCAUCUCCGCACAGACUUGGAUUGUAAAUGGUCCGUGGUCCCCCUGGGGGCUCUGAUGGGUCAGACCCCAUUGGAGCCAGUCGGGCACCUUGGGGAGGAUUUCAUUCUACUGAAUGUCACGCCUGCUUCUGAGAUGCCUCUCCAGCACCUGCUUCCCCCUCCUGCCACAUUCUGUCUCUUUUUCUCAAUAAGCGAGCUCCUCAGUUCUCACAGAUGCUGUGUCUGUCUUAAGAGGAGCUAGAGUUGUCUCCUCAAUAACAUGGGUCAUUGUUUUCUGUGUUUCUGCCUGAGAAUUUAGAGCCUUUCUGACUAAUGUAUUUUUCUUACAAAACUGAACGGAACUGAUGGCCCAAAGGGCCAGCUGCUUUUAUUAGCCACAAAGUUUAAAAUUCCCUCUUUUCCAACUAUGACUGUAUCAAUAAUGACUAUUGUGGCAACCAUUUUGAUUACCACACCAGUUUAAUCGCUUUGGUAAACUCUCUUCACUUUGCAAAUCCCCUUUGGACUGCAGAAUUGGUGAUAGGACUAACAAAAUGAAGAAUACAGUCUUAGGAGUUAAUGGACUUCAUAAUUUGUCCUCUGUUUGAAAACGCAACUGUAGCUCUGUGAUACUCAAAGAACAUAUUCAGAACUUCAAUAUGGAGAAUUAUUUACAACUCAACUGAUUGUAAAACAUAUAAUAAAAAUGUGGUCGAGGUCUAAUUUUCCAGAGUGUUGGUGUGUAUUGUACAUAAGCCCCGCUCAAUAUGAGUUCUCUGUAGUUCAGCGCAAAACCUUUUCUCAUUAGAGAGAGCAGAAGAUUCCUGGAGAAGUCAGGCAAAGAUCAUUAGUACUAGUCUCUUGAAAAGAAGAUUAAUUUUUAUUUUUAGACAUCUAUUCAUGUGUACAGGUGAGAUUUAAAAAAAUGAAUGAAUUGCUAAUGAAAUAGUAUUCUGUACUUAAUGGUCAGUUUCAGAAUAAGUGGAACAGGCAACUGCUUGUGAAGAGUAAGACCUUCUGUCUCCCCAAACAUCAACCCAUCUCCCACUAUUUUCAAUAUUUUAUCUUUGUUCCUUUGAGACUAGAAAGCCUUUGUUCUUCAAAGCCUCUAUAGACAGGAAGAUUUUGACAGGAAAGGAAGAGGGUCAAUGGGUUCCUAAUUGUAGAAAUAUAAAUGUGCAAACAUUUAGAGGCACGAAACAGGAUAUUUGGGAAAAGUGAUUUUAUCAGGUAAUGCUUUAAAAGCAAUUUAAUGGCUAGUAUUCACUGUAUGAACGUUGUAUGCCAGGUAUCAUGAGAAUAACUUUACAUCGAUUAUCACAUUUAAUCUUUCUAUAAACCCAAUUGUAAAGAUGGCCUCAUUUCAAAGUGAAGGGAAUUAAUCUUAGAAGUGUGGAGGCGCGAGUGAGUGAUUGCCCUGGGCUUUGCCUUUGAAAUGUUUCCAGAAUUGGGCUGCUUUUAACCACAUCCACCGCUGUUGUCUAAACCAUCUUCAUUUCCACCUGGCCAUUGCUAGAGCCUUCAUUCUGGUCUCUCUGUUUCCAUUUUGGCUCUCCUACAAUCCAUUCUGCCCAGGGCAUUCAGAAAAGUAAUUCUGAAAUUGAUGUAAGAUCAGGUCACCCCUUUGCUUAAAACUCCCCAAAGGUUAUCCAUCUAAAAUAAAAUCUAAACUCUUUACCGCAGCCUACAAGGCACUAUGUGGUUCCAUAUUUUACAGGUGCCCAAGUAGUACAGAAACACACAAAAGCAGACAUAUUAAAGGACACUCGGAUAACAUUGCUGGUCAGGAGCCACUUAGCACUGGCCCAGGACGGCCCCAUCCUAACGUGCACCCUGGAACUCACGCUGCACAGGCCCCGGGGAAGGGUCUUUCCACAGUUUUUACCUGUGUCUUCAAAACAAAAGACAACUAUAUGCAAAACCUGUGAAUGCUUGUGAAUUUUGUUGUUGCCAACACCUGGGAUUGAUGUGACUUCAAAGUCAGUGGAAGAACUCAAGAGAAAGGACAAACUAAUUAACUUCUCAAAUCCAUUCUCUCGAACAGCAUGAAUACAAUAUAUUCUUCAUAAAUAGCGCCCUGUAUCUUUGUUCUCUUCCAAUUCGUGUUCUGAAAAAUUGCUUGU